AGUGUACGCUGGCGGUAGGCCUAACACAUGCAAGUCGAACGGCAGCACAGUAAGAGCUUGCUCUUACGGGUGGCGAGUGGCGGACGGGUGAGGAAUACAUCGGAAUCUACUUUUUCGUGGGGGAGAACGUAGGGAAACUUACGCUAAUACCGCAUACGACCUACGUGUGAAAGCAGGGGAUCUUCGGACCUUGCGCGAUUGAAUGAGCCGAUGUCGGAUUAGCUAGUUGGCGGGGUAAAGGCCCACCAAGGCGACGAUCCGUAGCUGGUCUGAGAGGAUGAUCAGCCACACUGGAACUGAGACACGGUCCAGACUCCUACGGGAGGCAGCAGUGGGGAAUAUUGGACAAUGGGCGCAAGCCUGAUCCAGCCAUACCGCGUGGGUGAAGAAGGCCUUCGGGUUGUAAAGCCCUUUUGUUGGGAAAGAAAAGCAGCAGGUUAAUACCCCGCUGUUCUGACGGUACCCAAAGAAUAAGCACCGGCUAACUUCGUG
rnacentral:rRNA from 1 species